rnacentral:rRNA from 1 species
CAUUACCGAGUUGAUUCGGGCUCCGGCCCGAUCCUCCCACCCUUUGUGUACCUACCUCUGUUGCUUUGGCGGGCCGCGGUCCUCCGCGGCCGCCCCCCUCCCCGGGGGGUGGCCAGCGCCCGCCAGAGGACCAUCAAACUCCAGUCAGUAAACGAUGCAGUCUGAAAAACAUUUAAUAAACUAAAACUUUCAACAACGGAUCUCUUGGUUCUGGCAUCGAUGAAGAACGCAGCGAAAUGCGAUAAGUAAUGUGAAUUGCAGAAUUCAGUGAAUCAUCGAAUCUUUGAACGCACAUUGCGCCCUUUGGUAUUCCGAAGGGCAUGCCUGUUCGAGCGUCAUUACAACCCUCAAGCUCUGCUUGGUAUUGGGCACCGUCCUUUGCGGGCGCGCCUCAAAGACCUCGGCGGUGGCGUCUUGCCUCAAGCGUAGUAGAACAUACAUCUCGCUUCGGAGCGCAGGGCGUCGCCCGCCGGACGAACCUUCUGAACUUUUCUCAAGGUUGACCUCGGAUCAGGUAGGGAUACCCGCUGAACUUAAGCAUAUCAUAA